rnacentral:misc_RNA from 1 species
AAAAGUGAUUAAUUUAAAUUAUCAAACUACUAUAUAGAGCAUAAAAUUAUUUCCAGGAUUAAAGUACAUUAUAAUACACGUGCUGAACUAAAAUACAUGUGGUAAUACGUUUCAGGUCUUACAUAGAAACAGACUUCAAUAUAUACGCAGAGAGGGAACUUAAUUAACGGCAAUAUAUCUUUAACUGGCUUCUUAAGGCACGCAAAUACAUUAGUCAACUGUCAAACCCAGUGACUUAACAAUGGCUUCAGUAAGUUGCUAUAUUACUGUAUUCACAACCCCCAGUUGCAUUGACAUCUGCCCAUACUUCAUUAACACGCCCGAUGAAAUGGAAUGGAGAAUCAUACUGAGCAAUGGAGUAGGCAAAUUUACUUUCUGCAGAAGUUGUGUUGGUCCAUGGAGACCUGCUCAAACUGUCAGCAAGUUUUUUAGCUUCUGGGACAAUGUUAUCAUCAUUUGCAAAUCCUGAGAAUUUUCUCACAGCAACACAAUGACUGUCCCAAGCAAAGGGUUUCAGGUGCAGUUCAGGAAUAGGGACCGGGGGCUCAUCUUGGAAUUCAGCAGGCAAGUAAAAUAGAACAGAGUAGGCUGACGACUGAAACGGCCCAGCUCCUAGGACUAUACCAGUCACAACAGGAACUGUCAUUGGAAUCCUAGUCCAAUUUAGAUUGGCACCUUGGAUGAACUGGAACAACCUGAAAGGAAAACAACAGGAUAAUAUUACGAAAAUGAAAAAUCAGAAUGCCACUUUAUGGGAAAGUGGAUCUAGGACUAGGAAGGUUAUGCAUUAUAUUCAUCGAAGGUGUGUACAAGAUUAUGCAAUACAGGAAAGUGAAUAAUUCAUUUAAACUUAACAAUCUUAUUGUGCUGCUUGGGAGCAGUUAUCAUGUUUUCAUUGCCAGAUCCAAAUUCUACAAUUAUUGAAAAUCACAACAAAGCUGUUGUUUUUCACUUAAACGAAACAAAUAUUGAUAAUUGGUUUGAAGGGGGAGAAAAGAGUUGCUUCUGUGAAAGCAAGCUUACUUGAGAGAGUAAAUUUCUCUACACCAUCAAAACAAGCUGAGUGCCAUUUUAGCUUGUAUACUUAUUAUUUGUUUUUCCAGAAAGCCUACUUAAUCCAAUGGAAAAAGAUAACUGCCAAUUCUACACGUGAGUGGAAGACAUUGAAUCUCUGAAAUGAAAACAAUGAAGUUUACACCUUGGUGUUCAUAAAAAAUAAAAGAUAUCAUAAAGUGGUCAAUCUAAGAACCUCUGUACAGAAACUAUACUCAGACAGAUGCAUCCAUUUAAGUAUUACACAGAGAAAAUAAACUAAUCAUUUGUAAUAAGAAUUAAAAAA